rnacentral:rRNA from 1 species
GACGAACGCUGGCGGCGUGCUUAACACAUGCCAGUCGAACGGAAAGGCCCUGCUUUUGUGGGGUGCUCGAGUGGCGAACGGGUGAGUAACACGUGAGUAACCUGCCCUUGACUUUGGGAUAACUUCAGGAAACUGGGGCUAAUACCGGAUAGGAGCUCCUGCUGCAUGGUGGGGGUUGGAAAGUUUCGGCGGUUGGGGAUGGACUCGCGGCUUAUCAGCUUGUUGGUGGGGUAGUGGCUUACCAAGGCUUUGACGGGUAGCCGGCCUGAGAGGGUGACCGGGCACAUUGGGACUGAGAUACGGGCCAGAGUCCUACGGGAGGCAGCAGGGGGGAAUAUUGCACAAUGGGCGGAAGCCUGAUGCAGCAACGCCGCGUGCGGGAUGGCGGCCUUCGGGUUGUAAACCGCUUUCGCCUGUGACGAAGCGUGAGUGACGGUAAUGGGUAAAGAAGCAACGGCUAACUACGUG